GAUGAAGAACGUAGCGAAAUGCGAUAAGUAAUGUGAAUUGCAGAAUUCAGUGAAUCAUCGAAUCUUUGAACGCACAUUGCGCCCCCUGGUAUUCCGGGGGGCAUGCCUGUUCGAGCGUCAUUUCACCACUCAAGCCUCGCUUGGUAUUGGGCAACGCGGUCCGCCGCGUGCCUCAAAUCGACCGGCUGGGUCUUCUGUCCCCUAAGCGUUGUGGAAACUAUUCGCUAAAGGGUGUUCGGGAGGCUACGCCGUAAAACAACCCCAUUUCUAAGGUUGACCUCGGAUCAGGUAGGGAUACCCGCUGAACUUAAGCAUAUCAAUAAGCGGAGGU
rnacentral:misc_RNA from 1 species